AGCGAACGCUGGCGGCAGGCCUAAUACAUGCAAGUCGAACGGCUCUUCGGAGCAGUGGCGGACGGGUGAGUAACGCGUGGGAACGUGCCCUUUGGUUCGGAACAACACAGGGAAACUUGUGCUAAUACCGAAUGUGCCCUUCGGGGGAAAGAUUUAUCGCCAUUGGAGCGGCCCGUGUUGGAUUAGGUAGUUGGUGGGGUAAAGGCCUACCAAGCCUACGAUCCAUAGCUGGUCUGAGAGGAUGAUCAGCCACACUGGGACUGAGACACGGCCCAGACUCCCUAGGGGGGCAGCAGUAGGGAAUCUUUCGCAAUUGGCUAAAGCCUGACGCAGCCAUGCCGCGGGAAUGAUGAAGGUCUUAGGAUUGUAAAAUUCUUUCACCGGGGAAGAUAAUGACGGUACCCGGAGAAGAAGCCCCGGCUAACUUCGUGCCAGCCGCCGCAGUAAAAC
rnacentral:rRNA from 1 species